rnacentral:lncRNA from 1 species
AGUAGCGCUGCCAUCUGGUGUCUGAAACUUGAAAUUGCAAGUACAAAUUCCAGGGUGCGAAGAAGACUCCAGGGGACCAACCAGUCUUAAACAAUAGACAAUGUCACAAUGUUGAAUGCGGGUGGAUGCUACAUUACAGUUCAGUCACCAAGAGUCAAGAGACCUCUAGGGGGACCUGAGUCCCAUUCCCAACAGAGGAUCACAACGCUUGGUUAACUCCAGCUCCAGGACAUCUGAUACCUUCUUCUGGCUUCCUCUGGAUCCUGAACAUGCAAGGGCUACAGAGGAGCAAGGCUGUGCUUCCUGUGCUGUGGUCUGGCUGGCUAGACACCUGGAAGUCAGUGAUUCCACUCUUUCUCCCAAAGACUUCAUAAGAAAAAAGCCCUAGAGGACGCUGCAUAGCAAGACUGUUAAAAGAUACCAGACUCUGGAGGCAAACUGUCUAACAAAGACUCUGGCUGGAUCUAUGACCUCCUUCUCUCCGAAGCCCAGUUUCCUUAUUCACAAACUGGGACUGAUGAUAGAUACCUAUGUUAUGGUGCGCUGUAAGGAUGACACAAUAUAACACGUGGAAUACUUGGAC